GAGUAACCUUUUAGGAGCUAGCCGUCGAAGGUGGGACAAAUGAUUGGGGUGAAGUCGUAACAAGGUAGCCGUAUCGGAAGGUGCGGCUGGAUCACCUCCUUU
rnacentral:rRNA from 1 species